rnacentral:rRNA from 1 species
UACGUAGGGGGCAAGCGUUGUCCGGAAUCAUUGGGCGUAAAGAGCGUGUAGGCGGCUCGAUAAGUCUGCUGUGAAAGUCCAGGGCUCAACCCUGGAAUGCCGGUGGAUACUGUCGGGCUCGAGUCCGGAAGAGGCGAGUGGAAUUCCUGGUGUAGCGGUGAAAUGCGCAGAUAUCAGGAGGAACACCCAUGGCGAAGGCAGGUUACUGGGCUUUAUCUGACGCUGAGGAGCGAAAGCGUGGGUAGCAAACAGG